UGGGGAAUAUUGGACAAUGGGCGCAAGCCUGAUCCAGCAAUGCCGCGUGUGUGAAGAAGGCCUUCGGGUUGUAAAGCACUUUUAUCAGGAGCGAAACGCUGUCGGCUAAUACCCGGCGGAACUGACGGUACCUGAGGAAUAAGCACCGGCUAACUUCGUGCCAGCAGCCGCGGUAAUACGAAGGGUGCAAGCGUUAAUCGGAAUUACUGGGCGUAAAGCGUGCGUAGGCGGUUUCUUAAGUCUGCUGUGAAAUCCCCGGGCUCAACCUGGGAAUGGCAGUGGAUACUGGGAGGCUAGAGUGUGUCAGAGGGUGGUGGGAUUCCCGGUGUAGCGGUGAAAUGCGUAGAGAUCGGGAGGAACAUCAGUGGCGAAGGCGGCCACCUGGGACAACACUGACGCUGAGGCACGAAAAGCGUGGGGAGCAAACAGGAUUAGAUACCCUGGUAGUCCACGCCCUAAAACGAUGCGAACUGGAUGUUGGUCUCAACUCGGAGAUCAGUGUCGAAGCUAACGCGUUAAGUUCGCCGCCU
rnacentral:rRNA from 1 species